rnacentral:rRNA from 1 species
AGUGAACGCUGGCGGUAGGCCUAACACAUGCAAGUCGAACGGCAGCACAGUAAGAGCUUGCUCUUACUGGUGGCGAGUGGCGGACGGGUGAGGAAUACAUCGGAAUCUACUUUUUCGUGGGGGAUAACGUAGGGAAACUUACGCUGAUACCGCAUACGACCUACGGGUGAAAGCAGGGGAUCUUCGGACCUUGCGCGAUUGAAUGAGCCGAUGUCGGAUUAGCUAGUUGGCGGGGUAAAGGCCCACCAAGGCGACGAUCCGUAGCUGGUCUGAGAGGAUGAUCAGCCACACUGGAACUGAGACACGGUCCAGACUCCUACGGGAGGCAGCAGUGGGGAAUAUUGGACAAUGGGCGCAAGCCUGAUCCAGCCAUACCGCGUGGGUGAAGAAGGCCUUCGGGUUGUAAAGCCCUUUUGUUGGGAAAGAAAAGCAGCAGGUUAAUACCCCGCUGUUCUGACGGUACCCAAAGAAUAAGCACCGGCUAACUUCGUG